rnacentral:tRNA from 1 species
GAGAGGCUAGUAAAACAAUUACAUCACCUUGUCGAGGUGGAAUUUUGGGUUAAACCCCCAAGCAUCUUA